UACGUAGGGGGCAAGCGUUGUCCGGAAUUAUUGGGCGUAAAGGGCGCGCAGGCGGCUUUGUUUGUCAGGCGUGAAAGCCCCGGGCUUAACCUGGGAACUGCGUUUGAUACGGCAGGGCUAGAGUUCGGGAGAGGAGAGUGGAAUUCCCAGUGUAGAGGUGAAAUUCGUAGAUAUUGGGAAGAACACCGGUGGCGAAAGCGGCUCACUGGACCACAACUGACGCUGAUGCGCGAAAGCUAGGGGAGCAAACAGG
rnacentral:rRNA from 1 species